rnacentral:lncRNA from 1 species
GGCUAAAGUAGAUUGGGCUCAAAUGGGCUUGGGUUAUGACCCGCUUAAUUUCAAUAAUUUUAACAUAUUGUUAUUUAACUUUUAUAAUCACAAUUUGAAUUUUAACUCAAGAAAAUUAAGAAAGAAGAAGUUACAAAUGGAUAAAUAAAUCUUAGAAUAUAUAAAAUAGACAGUAGUAGUUCAUAUCUUCAAUUAGGAACAUGCAUUAC